rnacentral:tRNA from 1 species
UGUAGAGUGGCUGAGUUGAAGGUAUUAGUUUGUAAAACUAACAACGAAGAGGGUCUCUUCCUUUACAA